rnacentral:rRNA from 1 species
GAUGAACGCUGGCGGCGUGCCUAAUACAUGCAAGUCGAGCGAACGGACGAGAAGCUUGCUUCUCUGAUGUUAGCGGCGGACGGGUGAGUAACACGUGUAUAACCUACCUUUAAGACUGGGACAACUUCGGGAAACCGGAGCUAAUACCGGAUGAUAUUUUGAACCGCAUGGUUCAAAAGUGAAAGACGUUCUUGCUGUCACUUAUAGAUGGUUCCGCGCUGCAGUAGCUAGUUGGUAAGGUAACGGCUUACCAAGGCAACGAUGCAUAGCGGACUUGAGAGGGUGAUAGGCAAAACUGGAACUGAGACACGGUCCAGACUCCAACGGAAGGAAGCAGGAGGGAAUCUUCGGAAUUGGCCGAAAGCCUGAAGAAGAAAGGCGGCGUGAGUGAUAAAGGUCUUCGGAUAGUAAACCUCUGUUAUUAGGGAAGAAAAUAUGUGUAAGUACAUGUGCAGAUAUUGACGGUACCUAAUCAGAAAGCCACGGCUAACUACGUG